UCUUUCUUUUUAGAUAAGGCUUUUUAUGACGUUUUGGGGGCAUUCUUUUAUGCCUCUUUCCGUCAUGGAGGUCAGUAAAACCAUAAUCUUGGCAGAAGGUUGUCAGACCGUAUUUGUGAUUUUGCUUCAACUGUUGUUUAAGCUUAAGGUCUGUACAGAGUUCUAUCCUCGUAGUGGUAAUGAAACUUACUAAGUCUCCAUAAGUAAGGAUNNN
rnacentral:lncRNA from 1 species